UACGUAGGGGGCAAGCGUUGUCCGGAUUAUUGGGCGUAAAGAGCGUGUAGGCGGUUAUACAGGUCCGCUGUGAAAACUGGAGGCUUAACCUCCAGAUGUCGGCGGAAACCGUCUGGCUAGAGUCCGGAAGAGGAGAGUGGAAUUCCUGGUGUAGCGGUGAAAUGCGCAGAUAUCAGGAAGAACACCUAUGGCGAAGGCAGCUCUCUGGGACGGUACUGACGGCUGAGACGCGAAAGCGUGGGGAGCGAACAGGAU
rnacentral:rRNA from 1 species